AUGGAGCACCGGCGUGAGUCCAUGGAGGAGGCGGAGAUCGCAGAUGAGGGGGAAGACGAAGAAUCUCCGGUGAUGCAGGGCGUCCUCGCCGAUCGAACUCCUCAAACCAGAGAUGUUUCAUUCCGAGGUAGAAGCAGAGUCUGGGAAACAGGGCCCCCGAUCAGUGCUUCGCUUGGCGCCAUGAGACCCCUUGUCUGGAAGCUGGACAUGCUGCUUAUAGCUCCUCCUCGGGAAUGCUCCUCGGAGAGUGUCAAGCACAAGAUGCAGCUCCUCAAAGAAGAUGUAGAAGAAAUAAGCUUCUGCCUUGAUACAAUGUCACAAGUGGAGGACCCUCCCCAGACUGCCAAGUGUUGGAUGAAUGAGGUGCGCGACCUGUCUUACAACAUGGAGGAUUACAUCAACAGCUUACAUAUGCGAGCUGCAGAUCCCUCCCUCAUUGCCGACGGCAUCAAGACCACUAGGUCCCACCGCAAAUGGUUCAGUCAUGUUAGGACUCCCAAGAAGCUUACGUGUGAGGAGCAGAUUGUGGAAUCAGUAUCUGAAUUCAGGAUAUAUAUCGGUGACGCGAUGAAACGACACAAGAUGUAUGGUCUAAGUUUUUUUAGCACCUUGAAGCGUACACUUGUGCCCGUUGGCCCUAUGCUUCAAACGCCAGCGCCGUACGGAGAAACAUCGGACAUAGUAAUCAAUGACCGCAUGAAUGAGUUUAUUAACUCAGUGGCUACCGAUGGGGCAGAUCAGCAGCAGCACAAGGUGUUAUCUGUUUUGGGAUCUGCUUGUCUUGGUAAGACUACACUUGCUAGAGUUUUAUACAACAGAAUUGGGUUGCAAUUUGAUUGUCGAGCAUUCAUUCGAGUGUCAAAAAAUCCUGAUAUGAAGAAAAUUUUAUGGGAUACGCUCUUGCAACUGGAGCAGCAGCAGUACCCACCACAAUACUGUAAGGUGGUUGACCUCAUUAACAAGAUAAAAAAUUAUCUACAAGACAAAAGGUACUUAAUUAUUGUUGAUGAUGUGUGGUCUGCAUCAGUAUGGGAUAGCAUCAAUCGUGCUUUUCCAAAGGUUAGUCAUGGCAGCAGAAUAAUAACAACUACACAGAUCGAAGACGUUGCUUUCAGAUGUUGCCGUUAUCAGUCAGAGCAGGUGUUUGAGAUGAAACCCCUAGAUGAUCGUCACUCAAGAAAGCUUUUCUUUAACAGACUUUUUGGCUCUGAAAGUAAUUGCCCUGAACAGUUCAAAAAGGUUUCAAAUGAAAUUGUUGCAAUGUGUGGUGGUUUGCCGCUAGCAACAAUUAGCAUAGCUAGUCUUUUAGCAAGCCAGCCCGCCACGACAGAGGAUUUAUUGAAGCACAUCCAUGGCUCACUGAGCUCUCUUUUCUCAGCAAAUCCUACCUCAGAAAGAACGAGACAAGCACUGAAUCUGAGCUUUAAGAACCUUCCUCAAUAUUUGAGGACAUGCUUGCUCUAUGUUAGUAUGUAUCAAGAGGGAUACACAUUCUGCAAGAAUGAUUUGGUGAAGCAAUGGAUGGCCGAAGGUUUCAUCAAUACAACCAAAGGGGAAGAUAUGGAGAAAGUUGCAGAAAGCUAUCUCCAUCAACUUAUUGGUAGAAAAUUCAUCCAGCCUAUAUGUAUGGACUACAACAAUGAGGUGUUGUCGUGUGUAGUUCAUGAUCUGGUACAUGAUCUUAUUGCAGAAAAGUCCGCGGAAGACAAUUUCAUUCUGGCAAUAGACUAUAGUGAAAAGGAUAUGGCGCUUUCUCAUAAGGCCCGUCGACUCUCUAUCCUCUUUGGCGAUGCAAGAGAUUCCAAAGCACCAGCAUACAUCAUAAAGUCACAAGUUCGGUCACUCACAUUUUCCGGGUUAUUUGAGUGUAUGCCUAGUAUUCCAGAGUUCAAGCUUCUUCGUGUUCUAAACCUUCAACUAUCCAAUUACGGUGGCUCCAAAGGACUCUGCCAUGACAACAACCCUGUAGACCUCAGUGUGAUUUCAGAACUGUCUCGAUUGAGAUAUUUGAAGAUUGCAUCUCAUCUCUGUAUAAAACUGCCAGAUUAUAUGGGAGGGCUGCAUUGUUUGGAAACACUGGAUAUUAUGGAUGCAACAGUCCUCAAAUUUAGAAUUAGUGCCUGUUUCCCAUACUUGUUGCACAUGUACCUCAGUCUCCUUGAUGGGAGAAAUGUGCAGAAUUGGAUUGAAGAGAUGUCGGACAUUCACAAGCUGAAACACCUGCAGGAUCUUCGUCUUAUCUUUUCUUCAGCACGGUCUUUAUCUCGGGAAGAAAACAUGAGAAGUCUGCGAGAUUUUAUCAGCGGGCAUGGUAACCUGAAAACUAUAGUAGUGGCUUGUGGCUCCCCAGAUAAGGUUAUUGACUGCGCUUCAGAUGCAACCAUUUCAUGGGAUGACAUGGCACCUCCCCCACUCCUCCAGAGAUUUGAAUUCUCGCCGCACGGAGGCUGCAUAUUCUCACGAAUACCACUGUGGGUUGAGAAACACAACCAUCUAAGCAUUUUGAAGAUUGCUGUGAAGGAACUUCAGAUGAUUUGUGUUGGUUUUCUCAGAGGAUUGCCUGCCCUCACUGCUCUGUCUCUGCAUGUGGAGACAAUGCCCGUUCACAAGAUCAUAUUUGACAAGCCCGGGUUCUCAGUUCUCAAGUACUUCAGGUUGAAGUUCAUGAAUGGUAUAGGUUGGCUAAAAUUUGAGGAGGAUGCAAUGCCUAAUCUAUUGAAGCUAAAGCUAGUUUUCAAUGCCAUCCCACAAAUCGACCAAUAUGAACAUGGUAUUCUCAGUAUCGACCAUAUGCCUAGCCUUAAAGAAAUCUCUGUAAAAUUUGGGGGUACAACUGCUGGUCGAGAGUAUGCAUUUGUUAAUAAUCAUAAGAGCAAUCCUUGGAUCAACAGGCAGUCGGUGGUUUAUAGUUCUAACGGCGACGAAAGCAGAAACCAGAAAAAACUGAAAUAUGAGAUUCUGGAGGAAGAACGAGAUGAGAUUGUGGAGGGAGAAAGAGAUGAAUACGAUAAGGAAUUGAAGAGCCGUCCUGAUCAAAGGAUUUCAAGAUCGCUGGAGUUUUCUUCCCGACCAUAUGUUCGAGCCCUACCCAUUGAUACAAUGGGACAGUGCUACGGCGAGGGCAUGUCCUCGCGCGCCAUGGAAGAUGACUUAGGAGUCGUGGUGGAGAUGCCCUCCCCUCCCCCGGCCAAUGGCAUGCCCCAAACAGCAUCACCGAAAGCCACGCCGGUGGCCACGGUCGGGACCCCGAGGUGCCGUAAGUCAGGAUCAACCACGCCCAUACAGCAGACGCCGCCCGGGGUGUCGCCUUCGUCGGUGAGGUCCACGUCCAGGAUGUUCUUCAAGCACCCCUUCCCAUCGCCAUCGCUGGCCAAGCACAUCAAGUCCAUGCUUCCCAAGAGGCUGGGCGGACGGAAGCCCAAGAAGGGGACAGUACCGGAGAAAGGCGGUGGUGGCAUCGGAGCCGCUGGGGAUGGGGCGGAAGUGGAAAGACCAUUAGACAAGACGUUUGGAUUCGUGGAAAACCACAGGGCCAAGUACGAGCUCGGGGAGGAGGUGGGGAGGGGCCACUUCGGGUACGUCUGCUCGGCCGUCGUGAAGGAGGGCGAGUACAAGGGACAGACCGCCGCUGUUAAGGUUAUCCCCAAAGCUAAGAUGACAACAGCCAUAUCCAUUGAAGAUGUUCGUGGGGAAGUGAAGAUUUUGAAAGCUCUAUCAGGGCAUAAGAAUCUUGUCAAAUUUUAUGACGCAUACGAGGAUGAUGAGAAUGUCUACAUUGUCAUGGAAUUAUGUGAGGGUGGAGAGUUGCUAGACAGAAUAUUAGCCAGAGGUGGGAGAUACAUAGAAGAAGAUGCUAAAGCGAUCGUUGUACAGAUUUUGAGUGCGGUGGCCUUCUGUCAUCUUCAGGGAGUAGUGCAUCGUGAUUUGAAGCCAGAGAACUUCCUUUUCACAACAAGAGAUGAAAAUGCUCCAAUGAAGUUGAUUGAUUUUGGACUCUCUGAUUUCAUUAGACCAGAUGAAAGGCUUAAUGAUAUUACUGGAUCUGCAUAUUAUGUUGCCCCAGAGGUUCUACGCAGAUCAUACAGUACGGAGGCAGACAUUUGGAGUAUAGGUGUCAUAACAUACAUUCUGCUCUGUGGUAGUCGGCCAUUUUGGGCACGGACAGAAUCUGGAAUCUUCCGAUCUGUAUUAAAAGAUAUUCCCAACUUUGAUGAUUCACCAUGGCCUUCAGUGUCAGCUGAAGCUAAGGAUUUUGUGAAGAUAUUUUUAAACAGGGAUUACCGCAAAAGAAUGAGUGCUGUUCAGGCACUGACUCACCCGUGGUUGCAGGAUGAUCAAAGACAGAUUCCGCUGGACCAUCUUAUUUACAGAUUUAUUAAGCAAUACCUUCGUGUCACACUUCUUACACGUUUGGCGCUAAAGGCAUUAUCCAAGGCUUUAAAGGAUAAUGAACUCUUGUAUCUUAGGCUACAGUUUAAACUGCUUGAACCUAGAGAUGGUGUUGUGUCAAUUGACAACUUUCGGACGGCUUUAACGCGGUAUCUAACUGAUGUGAUGAAGGAAUCAAGAACUCCUGAGUUUUUGGAUGCGUUGGAACCACUUGCACACAGGAGUAUGGAUUUCGACGAAUUCUGUGCUGCAGCUAUCAGCCCUUACCAACUUGCGGCCCUGGACAGAUGGGAGGAGAUUGCUCGAACAGCUUUUCAGAACUUUGAACAGGACGGCAACCGAGUAAUAUCAAUUGAGGAGUUCGCACAGGAACUAAAUGUUGCUCCAACUAAUAACUCCAUUGUGCAAGAUUUGAUCAGAAACACAGAUGGCAAGCUAACCUUUCUUGGGUUUAUCCAAAUUUUACAUCGUGGUGUAACUCCCUCCAUUCGUAACACCAAUAGAAAAACGACUUUACGUGAGCCCCAUUAG
rnacentral:rRNA from 1 species